GCUAAUAAUGAAGGGGCCAGGGAAGGAGGCCAGUGCUACGAGGGUUAUCUCACAGCCUCAGAUGCUGGAUAAGUCGAACGAGGCAGAAUCGCGUUUGGAUGACAUUCAGAAAGGCCGGAGCGAUUGUUUGGAAGAGAAAGCCUGCCUAUUCUUUCCCAAGGUGUGUGAAUAUCCCCCUGACCUGCCGGUCCAGCAGUGAAUUACUAGACAAAGGAUGCACCCGGAACCCCACCACACCUAAAGCCACGCUUUGGAGGAUCUGCCAAGCUCACUUUUAAUCAUGAGAAAGAAAUUACCCACAUGGAGUCAGCAGAAAAUGAGAAAGUAGAGCUCGUGCUCCGAGUAAUUCCAGCAAGUGCCAAGGGGCUAGUUGAGGAAUGGCUUCAUGAGGAAAACUAUUGAUAGCCCACCAGACUGGGAGGCAGCAUUCAGUUCUCCUAUCCCUUCUUUCUCCUGGUGUGGUCUUUCUUCUGAAACAAAGAAGACAUUGUCAAAUCAGACUUGCCCUCUUGGAAAUGUGGUCCAGAUUGCUCUACUCCCAAGCUCCAAAAAAAGGUAUACAUAGGUUGGACUAAAUUAAGACCUCCUCAGGUCUAUAAAUCUACUCUGAGAUGUUUUCCACUUGUGGGUAUACUGUAGUCUAGAAAUACCUGAUUUCAGAGGAAAGAAGGAGGGCUUUGGAGUGGAGUUGGGUUCUAAUCUCUCUGCCACUCCAACUUUAGGCCCUGGGCAAGUCAUUUAAACUCUAUGAGUCUCUUUAUUUUUAAAAUGGGGAGAAAAAUAUACCUUGAAAAAUUGUUGUAAGGAUUAAGUGAAAUAAUGCAUACAGUGCCUAACAAAUUAUUUAGCAUGUUUAAAAAAAACACAAACAAAAAAAAACAUAAAAUAUUGUUUUUUCUUUCCCUCCCUCUCUCUCUCUCUC